rnacentral:tRNA from 1 species
GGAGAGAUGCCCGAGUGGUUAAAGGGGGCGGGCUGUAAACCCGUUGGCUUAGCCUACGUAGGUUCGAAUCCUACUCUCUCCACCA